rnacentral:rRNA from 1 species
ACCGAUGCGGGGGUGCAGGAGGCUAGGCUAUCCUGGACGAUAGAAGUCCGGCCAAGCGUGUAGGCGGGGGCUCAAAAGGCCCUCCGAAAGGAACGCCGAGACGUGAUGGGGACCCCAAUUGCGGGGGAAGUAGCUGAUGCCAUGCUGACGAGAAAAGCCGCUAAGGGACGAGAGUUCGUGACCGUACUAAAACCGACACAGGUAGGCGAGUUGAGUAUACCAAGGCGCUCCAGUGACCCCUCUAUAAGGAACUAGGCAAAAUGACUCCGUAACUUCGGGACAAGGAGUGCCCUUUGCCGUGUAAGGUCUUGCAUCUGAAGCGGUAGAGGGUCGCAGAGAAUCGGGCCGGGGAACUGUUUACUAAAAACACAGGUCUGUGCCAAGGCGUAAAAGCCGCUGUAUACAGACUGACGCUUGCCCGCUGCCGGAAGGUUAAGGGAAUCGGUUAGUGGGGGUAACCCUGCGAAGCUGUGAACCGAAGCCCCGGUGAAGGGCGGCCGUAACUAUGACGGUCCUAAGGUAGCGAAGUUCCUUGUCGGGUAAGUUCCGACGCGCAUGAAUAGCGUAAUCACUUGGCCGGUGUCUCGUAGAGGAGCUGGGCGAAAUUGCAGCGGCGGUGAAGAUACCGCUUACCCGCAGAUGGACGGAAAGACCCCGUGAACCUUUACUGUAGCCUAUUAUUGGCUUUUGACCUGUCUUGCGUAGGAUAGGUGGGAGGCGCUGAAGCCCAGGCUCCGGCUUGGGCUGAGCCGACGGUGAAAUACCACUCCUGACAUGUUAGGAGCCUAACUCCGAGCAGUGAAACCUGACGGGGGACAGUGAUAGGUGGGCAGUUUAACUGGGGCGGUUUCCUCCCAAAGAGUAACGGAGGAGUCCUAAGGCGCGCUCAACGCGGUUGGCAAUCGCGUGACGAGUGUAAGUGCAUAAGCGCGCUUAACUGCGAGACCCAAUACGUCGAGCAGGUGUGAAAGCAGGGACUAGUGAUCCGGUGGAUUCCGAGUGGAAGGGCCAUCGCUCAUCAGACAAAAGGUACUCCGGUGAUAACAGGCUGAUCUCGCCCAAGAGUCCACAUCGACGGCGAGGUUUGGCACCUCGAUGUCGGCUCAUCGCAUCCUGGGGCUGGAGAAGGUCCCAAGGGUUCGGCUGUUCGCCGAUCAAUAGCGGUACGUGAGCUGGGUUUAGACCGGCGUGAGCCAGGUCGGUCCCUAUCCUCUGUGGGCGCUGGAGAUUUGAGAGGGGCUGCUCCUAGUACGAGAGGAUCGGAGUGGACGGACCUCUGGUGUACCUGUUGUCCUACUAAGGGCAAUCGCAGGGUAGCUAUGUCCGGCAGGGAUAACCGCUGAAAGCAUCUAAGCGGGAAGCCCCCCUCAAGACUAGAUCUCCGUUAAGGGUCGUGGUAGACUACCACGUUGAUAGGCGGCAUGUGUAAGGCGAGCAAUCGCUUCAGCUGAGCCGUACUAAUCGCCCGUCCGCUUGACC